UACGGAGGGUGCAAGCGUUAAUCGGAAUUACUGGGCGUAAAGCGUGCGCAGGCGGUUUGUUAAGUCCGUUGUGAAAGCCCCGGGCUCAACUUGGGAAUUGCAGUGGAUACUGGCAGGCUGGAGUACGGUAGAGGAAGGUGGAAUUCCCGGUGUAGCAGUGAAAUGCGUAGAUAUCGGGAGGAACACCAGUGGCGAAGGCGGCCUUCUGGACCAGUACUGACGCUCAUGCACGAAAGCGUGGGGAGCAAACAGG
rnacentral:rRNA from 1 species